rnacentral:lncRNA from 1 species
AUGACACGCUCUGGAAUGUCAGCAGAGGCUUGGCUGAAGUGUGGGGCUGGGCACAGUCCCUUCCCUGAGGUCCCCCGGAGGAGGGGUGCCCCCCAGGACGGGACCAUGCAAGGCGCCGAGGGCGGCUGCUUUGCCUGUUGCUGGAACCUCCUGCUCUUCCUGCUGGCCUGCUACUUCCUCAGGCUCUGGAAUGGCCAAUUCCAGGCACUUCCCGCGUGGAGAGACUCACCCCGGCCCCCUUCCCAAGGCCAGGAAGAAAGAGCGCCCAGGUGGCUGUCAGAGGACCCCCACCACUCUCCGAGGAGCCGCCGACGCCGUUCCAUCCGCCGGCUGCUGUGCGACGACCCAAGCUGCUCCUUGUGCCAGCAGGUGGCCGAGGAGGCGGCCGAACUGGCUUACCCCAGAGGGCCGGGCCUUGGGGUCCCCCUGACCCGGGCCAGUCAGAGGGAAAGCACCCACAGCUCCGUGUCCAGCACCCUGGACUCCUCGUUCAGCAGCUGGACACAGGGCAGCAUCUCCUCCUCUGGGUGCUCAGUGUCGCUGCGGAGCAUCUUCUCCUGGUCUCUGCAGGUGGAGAGCGAAGAGAUCUCGUCCUUCAGCGAGAGUACCCGGCGAUCCCAGGCCACAAGAAAGGGCGCACACAGGAAGAGCCGAGAGGGUGGCUGUCGGCACUGCCGCCGGCGCCACCGGAGGAAGGGGCGGGCUCCGGCCUUCCAAGGGGUCGCCCUGGAGACCCCCUUCCUGGGGGAGGAGGCCAGGGCCAGCUUAGAAGGGCACCUGCUGAGGAAGCAGGUUCAGCACGCCCUGGGGCUGCCCGCCACCCUCCUCCGCUCCCUCCGGGCCUUCAUGCCCCUUGCCCCAAACUCUGUGGCCAGGAGCGCCCCCAGGAGCCCUGUUCUGGCCCUCUGCCCCCAGCCUCUCCCCUUCCUGAAGCCCCAUGGCACCCGGGCAGAACUCGAGAAGCACCUGAAGAAGAUGGUGCACCUCAGGCGCUGGCGGCUGCCC